rnacentral:lncRNA from 1 species
AUGUUUUACUCAAGAUUAUUCAUCAGCUUGAAUCUUUUAUUUUUCUCUCUUUCUCUUCAAGAGACCUUUGGAGUUCGUUACGCACCUCAAGUUUUGGGGCAUAAUUGUUUCAAUCAAGAAGAAUUUCCAGCCAAAGAGUAUUGUGAGAAUAACAUGAAUACGUUACUGACAGAAGUAUUAUCGAAAAAUAUUUCAGAUUUAGGAUAUAAAAGUGGAGUUACCAAUGGUACAUCUAAAUCUAUAAUAGAACAAAAUACUUUUAUUUAUGGGUUAGCACAAUGUUGGAAUUAUCUUCUUAAGGACAGUCGCUACACACCAUGCAAAAAAUGUGUGAGUACAGCAAGCCUAGAGCUUCGCAAGCGUUGCCCUUCUAAUCGAGGAGAAUUUGGAUGGUAAGCUGCCUCUUAAAAUAUUCCAAUAUAAAUUUUUUUGGUGCAAGUGACACAAAUAAUAGGAUUUAUGAGACAAAUUCCAAAUUCAUUAAUGAUCC